rnacentral:rRNA from 1 species
UACGUAGGGGGCUAGCGUUGUCCGGAAUCAUUGGGCGUAAAGCGCGUGUAGGCGGUCCGGUAAGUCCGCUGUGAAAGUCGGGGGCUCAACCCUCGAAAGCCGGUGGAUACUGUCGGGCUAGAGUGCGGAAGAGGCGAGUGGAAUUCCUGGUGUAGCGGUGAAAUGCGCAGAUAUCAGGAGGAACACCAAUUGCGAAGGCAGCUCGCUGGGACGUUACUGACGCUGAGGCGCGGAAGCUAGGGGAGCAAACGGG